UUCUCUGGGCGGCGGUGUCAGGGAGGCUUAGGCCUGCCGGGUUCCUUGUGUACCGGUCUGUCAACCUUGACAUUUGCCGCCCACCCCG
rnacentral:antisense_RNA from 2 species